UACGUAGGGGGCAAGCGUUGUCCGGAUUUAUUGGGCGUAAAGCGCGUGUAGGCGGCCAGAUAGGUCCGCUGUGAAAACUCGAGGCUUAACCUCGAGGUGUCGGCGGAAACCAUCCGGCUAGAGUCCGGAAGAGGAGAGUGGAAUUCCCGGUGUAGCGGUGAAAUGCGCAGAUAUCGGGAAGAACACCCGUGGCGUAGGCAGCUCGCUGGGACGGUACUGACGCUGAGACGCGAAAGCGUGGGGAGCAAACAGG
rnacentral:rRNA from 1 species